rnacentral:rRNA from 1 species
AUGGCAAAAUAUUGGUGGAGCAGUUCCAUUGAUCGCAAAUCUCUCCACUGGAUAGAUUGGAAGUCUUUGUCACUCCCUAAGAUCAAAGGAGGAAUGGGUUUCCGCGACUUGGAAUGUUUCAAUAUCGCGCUUUUGGGCAAACAUGGCUGGAGAAUGAUGACAAACCCGGAGUCCUUGUGCUCUAGGGUUCUAAAAGGACGCUAUUUCCCAAAUUCUGAUUUUAUGAGUGCUUCUGUGCCACGAAACGCCUCCACGACAUGGAAGGGUAUCAUGGCUGGGACGAAGGCACUAGAAGCCGGCUUGCUAUGGCGAAUUUGUGAUGGUACUUCUGUGAAAAUUUGGACUGACCGGUGGCUACCUGGAAAACUAUCUCUGCAACCUUCAGUUCAGAUUGGGAGUGCCAACCUUCACACAGUUUCAGACUGA